rnacentral:lncRNA from 1 species
UGCUGCAGUCUGAGCCUGACCCUGGGCUGGGGGAGUCCCGGGACUCCAGCCAGUGCCCAGUGGGCUCAGCCAUGCUUCCCCUGCCAGAAGAACUCUCCCUCCCAGGUACCCCGGCUAGCAGUAACCACUGCUCCAAGGUGAAGACUUGACAGAAGCGCUUCUAACUCCUCCACGAGGUUCCCACUGGACUAGGGAGCGAGGGAAGCCCAGAGAAGGGGCCAUGAGGCUAUGGCGUGGACCAUGAUGUUACAGCAGUCCUUUUAUCCUAGGGAGAGCUCAGCCAGCCUCGUCCCAGACCACAGCUUCCAUGUCUGCCUCAUUGGGGUCCUGUGCAAAGACCUGCCAUGGACAUUUCCAGUUUCCCAGGGAUUUACCAUUAAGGAUUCUGCCAUCACAGACCCCCCUUGCAAGGAGUGUGCUCGUGAGCAACGAGACCGCUGAGCAGAGUGUCUCGGUCCCUCUGAGUGUGCGUCUGUGUACUAGGGUUAUUGGUGCUCUGUGACUCUGGGCAAGAAUUUCAACUCCCCUGGGCCUCAGCUCCUCGUCUGUAAAACAGGGGUAAAUAAUUGGGCAAAUCUCCCAGGAUCAUGAGAAUUAAGUUAAAUGAGGGAGUGCUGGGAAGCCGAGCUCAGCCGGUGUCUG